GGGAGGAGGAAGAAGAAAGCUACGAUACCUUUAACCAGAAAAGGAUCCAAAGAAACGAACGAAACCAACUAGGGGCUAACUCCAAAGUAGGCGAAGCUAGAAAAGACUCGACUUCUCUGUACCCCAGAAGAUUGCAAGGCAAUUUCUCUCCACAAAAACAAAAGAACCACGAAGCAAACAAAGCAAAACCAAGCAAAUUUCCUUCCAAUUUGCGUCACCGGGUUAUCUCCACGCAUUAGAAUUUUGAAUCGAUCUCCAUUAAACGUCACGACAGACAAAGAAGACGACUUGACUAGCACUGUACCAAGAGUGUGGACGUAGCAGCUUGCGUGUGCCAGCGGUAUGGUCUUCAGUCUGGAAGAAAAAGAGGGAGAUAUGACAGGAGAGGCUUGUGGGAAACCACACACCCAUUAUUGAGAUUCCUUCCGGAUUAUUCGUCUAGAGGCGUGUGCACGGCACUGAGAAGCGUGUGGGCUCUGCGAAUUACCAAGCUAGCCUCUCAUGGCCCAGUAAAUGCCUAUAAAUGCCCAUCCCCUCCGCCCUUCCUCAACAACGUAUUGGGUGAUCGAAUCUAUCAGAGUUACAAACAUUGUCUUUGGUUUCCUGCUUCGAAACUCAAAACAUGUCGACCUGCGGCAACUGCGAUUGUGCUGACAAGAGCCAGUGUGUCAACUUCAACAAUGUCAUCGAUGCCCCGGCUGCUGCUGAGCACGAGGGCAACUGCAAGUGUGGUGCUAGCUGUGCUUGUGUGGAUUGCAAGUGUGGCCAAUGAGCAACAUCUAUGAGCACUAUAGCAAACAAGAAAAGAAAGAGAUAUGUGUGAUAUGGGCAUGUUGGACUAAAUAAUUUGGAUAUGUUUCUGUCAUGGUGUGUUAUUGUAGCAAGGAUGUGUGUCUGUCAUGGUGUGUUAUUGUUGUAAGGUUGGAGGAAGACAAUAUCUGGCUUCCUUAUCCAGUUUCGCACUAAUUUCUAUUACCUGUUCUAAUUAAUGGAUUGCUAUUGGUAGAA